CGCGCAGGCGGCCUUUCAAGUCAGGGGUGAAAGCCCGGAGCUCAACUCCGGAAUUGCCUUUGAAACUGUCAGGCUCGAGUACGGGAGAGGUGAGUGGAAUUCCCAGUGUAGAGGUGAAAUUCGUAGAUAUUGGGAAGAACACCGGUGGCGAAGGCGGCUCACUGGCCCGUUUCUGACGCUCAGGCGCGACAGCGUGGGGAUCAAACAGGAUUAGAUACCCUGGUAGUCCACGCCGUAAACUAUGAACGCUAGCCGUUGGCAGGCUUGCCUGUCAGUGGCGCAGCUAACGCAUUAAGCGUUCCGCCUGGGGAGUACGGCCGCAAGGUUGAA
rnacentral:rRNA from 2 species